rnacentral:lncRNA from 1 species
ACCUGCUCCUCCAGCUGGGGGCCCGCCCUGAGCCCUGGGAAGCUGCGGUUAAUCUUUAAGCCAGCCUUGCAAACAAGUGCAGCCAUUUCACCAGCCCAGGCUGGCUUCUGCUGUUGACUGGCUGUGGCACCUCAAGCAGCCCCUUUCCCCUCUAGCCUCAGUUUAUCACCGCAAGAGCUACCAUUCAUCUAGCACAACCUGACCAUCCUCACACUGGUCAGUUCCAACCUUCCCAGGAAUCUUCUGUGGCCAUGUUCACUCUGGUUUUACAGGGUGCUCCUCCCAGCUCCUCUCAGCAGGGACCUUUGCCCAGGGAAUAGAAGCCUGACCUGUCUGGGCCUUAAUUUCCCAUCUGUGAAAUGGGAGAACUUUCAAAGAAGGAAUAUGGAGGCAGGUGUGAUAUUUAAAGCUGGACCCAGGCCCACCUUUCCCUGUGCUAGGAUUCCAGGACAGGUGAGGAGCCAAGGGUGGGGUGCCCAGCCCCAAAAGGAUAGCCCUGGAGCCUGCGCCAGGGGGUGAGAGGGCAGUCUUUGUGGCCUAAAGCAGCAUUUCCUCAAUGUCCCGUUUUUCUGCUACAUUUCCUGCCCUGGUUCAGAGGUACUUAGCCUCUUUACUUACUUGGAAGUGUGACUGCCACUCAGAUGCCCUGGUCAGCCCCUCCUAAGCAGUAAUAAUUAGAACUAGGGGACUUCCAAUGGGCUGCCAGGGAUGUUUCGCAAUUAUGCACU